UGGGGAAUAUUGCACAAUGGGCGCAAGCCUGAUGCAGCCAUGCCGCGUGUAUGAAGAAGGCCUUCGGGUUGUAAAGUACUUUCAGCGGGGAGGAAGGGAGUAAAGUUAAUACCUUUGCUCAUUGACGUUACCCGCAGAAGAAGCACCGGCUAACUCCGUGCCAGCAGCCGCGGUAAUACGGAGGGUGCAAGCGUUAAUCGGAAUUACUGGGCGUAAAGCGCACGCAGGCGGUUUGUUAAGUCAGAUGUGAAAUCCCCGGGCUCAACCUGGGAACGGCAUCUGAUACUGGCAAGCUAGAGUCUCGUAGAGGGGGGUAGAAUUCCAGGUGUAGCGGUGAAAUGCGUAGAGAUCAGGAGGAAUACCGGUGGCGAAGGCGGCCCCCUCGACGACGACUGACGCUCAGGUGCGAAAGCGUGGGGAGCAAACAGG
rnacentral:rRNA from 1 species